UAAUUUUUGAUAGACCAUAUUGACAAAAAAGUUUGCGACUCGAUGUUGGAUUAGGAUACUUUUUUAAUGAAGACAUUAAAAUAAGAAGUUUGUUCAACUUUUAAAUUCCUACAUGAUCUGAGUUUAGACCGAUGAGAAUCAGGUUGGAUUCUAUCUUAAUAAUUAAUAAAUUUCAAUUAGUACGAAAGGAAUAUUGAAAACUAAUUAUUAGGGUAAACAACUUUAUUUGCAUCAAUUUUUGUAAUU
rnacentral:rRNA from 1 species